rnacentral:tRNA from 1 species
UGGGGAUUAGAAUAGAUGGCCUAAUUCAUCGGUCUUUGACACCGACAGCACUGGUUCGAAUCCAGUAUCCCCUG